UACGUAGGGGGCUAGCGUUGUCCGGGAUCAUUGGGCGUAAAGCGCGUGUAGGCGGUCCGGUAAGUCCGCUGUGAAAGUCGGGGGCUCAACCCUCGAAUGCCGGUGGAUACUGUCGGGCUAGAGUGCGGAAGAGGCGAGUGGAAUUCCUGGUGUAGCGGUGAAAUGCGCAGAUAUCAGGAGGAACACCAAUUGCGAAGGCAGCUCGCUGGGACGUAACUGACGCUGAGACGCGAAAGCGUGGGGAGCAAACAGG
rnacentral:rRNA from 1 species